AACGAACGCUGGCGGCAUGCCUAACACAUGCAAGUCGAACGAGACCUUCGGGUCUAGUGGCGCACGGGUGCGUAACGCGUGGGAACCUGCCCUUAGGUUCGGAAUAACUCCCCGAAAGGGGUGCUAAUACCGGAUAAUGUCUUCGGACCAAAGAUUUAUCGCCUUUGGAUGGGCCCGCGUUGGAUUAGCUAGUUGGUAGGGUAAAAGCCUACCAAGGCGACGAUCCAUAGCUGGUCUGAGAGGAUGAUCAGCCACACUGGGACUGAGACACGGCCCAGACUCCUACGGGAGGGAGCAGUGGGGAAUAUUGGACAAUGGGCGAAAGCCUGAUCCAGCAAGGCCGCGUGAGUGAUGAAGGCCUUAGGGUUGUAAAGCUCUUUUACCCGGGAUGAUAAUGACAGUACCGGGAGAAUAAGCACCGGCUAACUCCGUG
rnacentral:rRNA from 1 species